rnacentral:rRNA from 1 species
UGAAAGACCGGUUCUCGUCCGAUCAACGAAGUUAAGUAACGUGUAGCCUGGUCAGUAUCUAGAUGGGUGACCGCUUGGGAAUACCAGGUGCUGUAAG